UAAAGCUUACACCUCCUUUAGAAUUUAUCUAGCAGAUUUUCUGGUUUUCACCAGAAAACUCCCA